GACCGCGUAGCUCAGUUGGAAGAGCAUUGGGCUAGUAUUCCAAAGAUCGUAGGUUCGAAUCCCGCCGUGGCCA
rnacentral:tRNA from 1 species